rnacentral:lncRNA from 1 species
GUGCGCCUGCGCUUCUUUACAGUAUCAGCAGGGGUACUAUCAUAGUCAAAGCUGAUUGGGCUCUGAGCAGUAGUACCAACAGCAGCACGUGAGCGCGGAGCAUAGUCAGAAUCAUCCUCAGCAACAUGGCCAGAAAAAGGGUUGUACCAACAGCAGCACGUGCGCGUGGAGCAUAGUCAGAAUCAUCCUCAGCAACAUGGCAAGAAAAAGGGUUUGACGAAGUAGUGGCUUGACUGGAGCUAUCAGCUGUUGCAUUAAUAGCUGGUUCCUGGCAGCUGAUAUGUACAUCGACCAGACAAUCACUUUGAAUAGCUAUAGGAGAAGGAGCAUCAGU